GCUCCCCUGGCAGUGUCUUAGCUGGUUGUUGUGAGGAUUGACAGCAAAGCAAUCAGCAAGUAUACUGCCACAGGAAC
rfam:Scleropages formosus scaffold7461, whole genome shotgun sequence.